UGCUUAUACACUGUUGGUGAACUGUCACCCCUACAACUCAGCUUGCAACCAGCCCUGGCCACCACCGGUUUCCCCACACUGAGCUGAAUAUUGGACAUGCCCAUCUUAGACAUUCCAGCCCAUUCUGAAAUUCCACAUCGAUUCACCCGACAAAGUCUGAAGUUCCAGGGCAAUUUAUCUGGAAAAGCUCACCUGGAAUCAUGUGUCAUUUCAACCAACAACUGUUGAAGAGGACGUGGCAUCAAAACCAAGGUUAUCAAUUAUUUAUAAGGGCUGUGUGCUGGUUGGUCCAAGCAUCUCUCCUUCAUGCCAUCACUCCUUUCAAGAGCUGCCUCUAUUUUCUAAUUUAGCACAGGAAUUUAGAUGCCCCUAAAUAAGUAGGCAUCCAGUAUCUGCCCACACCAGUUUUUGUGAGAGUACAUAUGGAGACACUACCACCACCCCUGCUCUCCUACUGCAUACCCCACCAUGCCAAAGCAUGGUGGCUCACACCUGUAAUCCCAGUGCUUUGGGAGGCCAAAGAGGAGGAACACUUGAGGCCAGAAGUAUGAGACCAGCCUGGGCAACAUAGUGAGACCUCAUUUCUAUAAAUAAGUAAAAAAAAAAACAAAAAAAUAGGGGAUAGUGGUGCACAUGUGUGGUCCCAGUUACUCAGCAGGCUGAGGCUGGAAGAUCACUUGAGCCCAGGAGUUUGAGGCUGCAGUGAGCUAGGAUUAUGCCACUGCACUCUAGCCUGGGCAACAGAGAGAGACCCCAUCUCUAAAAAGAGGGAGAAGAAGGAAGGAGGAGGAAGAAGAGGAAGAGGAGGAGGAGGAGAAAUACUGCUCUUUCUCAGGCCCAAGGUAAAAAGGUUUUUGGUCUCAUGUUGACCAGAAAGACAUUGAUAUUUAAUUAAGCAAUAUAAAAAGGCUCAUUGUUAGGAUUAAAGAGUAAGUAAAAUCAAUAUUGAGAUAGGAGGAUGGAGGACACCAACUGAGUUCCGAUCCCAAUGAAGAGGAGAAAAAGCUACAACUAUCUAGGUGAAAUAUCUAAUUAUCCUAGAAGAAGCCUUUUGACAGCAACAUAAAAUUCAUACCUAUAGGUUUUUAAUUCCUAUGGAUGCCGUAGCAAAUAACAAAAACUCGGAUGGCGUAAAGUAACAGAUGUUUAUUCUUUUCCAGUAUUGGAGACCAGGAAUCUGAGAUCAAGGUGUGGGCAGGGCUGCGCUCCCCCUGGAGGUUCUAGGAGAGGAUCCUUCCUGCCUCUUCCAGCUCCUGGUGGCUCCAGGUGUCCCUGGGCUUGUGGCCACAUCACUACAUUCUCUGCCUCCAUCUCCACGUGACCUCUUCCUCUGUGUCUGUGUCUCCUCUUCUGUCUCUUAGAAGGACACUGGUCAUUGGAUUUAAAGGCCACCUGGAGACCAGAAGUCUGAAAUCAAGGUGCGGUCCGAGCCACACUCCCUCUGAAGGCUCAGCCUGGCCAACAUGGUGAAACCCCAUCUCUACUAAACAUACAAAAUUUAUCUGGGCAUGGUGGUGCGCACCUGUAGUCCAAGCUACUUGGGAGACUGAGACAGGAGAAUCGCUUGAACCCAGGAGGCAGAGGUUGCAGGGAACAGAUAUCGUGCCACUGCACUCCAGCCUGGAUGACUGAGCAAGACUCCAUCUCAAAAACAAAAACAAAAACAAAUACAAAAACAAAAACAAAAACAGAGACUGAUGCUCGCAGAUUGUGUAUUCCAGACCACCAAGUUAAUUCAGCAUUGGCAGUGACAUCAUGUUCUUCCAAACAGCAUCCCCUUUCUGCUUCUGGGUACUGAAUUUUUGUAAAUGGCAAAUGAAUUCCUUCAUUAAGCCACAAACAGUGACAUGACAGCUGCAAAUUCAGCCAUCUAUAAGGUUUCCAGAUAAAAGACACAACACCAAUUAAAUGUGAAUUUCAGAUAAAUACUGAAUAAUUUUUUAGUAUCCAUAUGCCCCCAGUAUGACAUGGGGCAUACUGAUACUCAAAAAUCUGUUACUUGGCCAAGUGCAGUGGCUCACACCUGGAAUCCUAGGACAUUGGGAGGCUGAGGUGGGGGGAUUGUUGAUCCCAGGAGUACAAGACCAGCCUAGGCAACAUGGUGAAACCCUGUCUCUACAAAAAUACAAAAAUUAGCUGAGCGAAAUGGUGCACACCUGUAGUCCAACUACUCAGGAGGCCGAGGUGUGGGGAUCGCCUGAGCCCGAAGAGGUAGAGGCUGCAGUGAGCCGUAAUCACACCACUGUACUCCAGCCUGGGCCACAGAGUGAGACCCUGUCUCAAAAAAUAAAAAUAAAAAAGUAGAAUAAAUAUAAUUAAAAUUUAAAACAUUUUAAAAUGUGUUAUCUGAAAUUUAAAUUUAUUACAAUUUUUAUUUGCUAAAUGUGGCCACUCCAAGUGUAUGGAGUAUUUAUUCUACCAUGCAGUUUUUAACACCUGCAUCUCUGCAUCUGCUUCUGUUCCAGGACAGAGAAAAACUAACACAUUUCUGCUGUAUCUAAGAAUAGGUAGAUAUACCUGUGUUUUGAUUCUUUCUGAUUUCAGUACUAAACAUCCCUCAUUAUCAUUCUCAGGGAAAAGAUGAAUGUAGAAUCUCUGCUGAGCUAAUAUUUCCUGACACCCUGUUUAUGUGCCUUGUGAAUUGUGGGCAUUGCCAUGUGGGUUGUUUCAUUUCAUCUUCACAAUCACCCUCCAAAAGUAAAAAACAAAGACUGCCUCACUCAAAUGUCCACUGCCAUCAGUGCCCCAUGAGUAUAUAUAUGGUGCCAAGCUCUGCCAUGAUCUCUCCAGAGAAGAGGAGUAAAACCAAAGAAGUGAAGACGUGUCUGCCUGGAAGGGAACAUCUGUGACACCUUCUUUUCCAAAUGUUCUUAAAGUUUAAGCAGAUUAUUGUAAAGGAAAUAUGAAAAAGUUAGUACUUAAAAAAAAACCUCCUUGUAUCAAAAUGUCCCAUUCCCAGCCUCUAUUCAAUUUCAAUCCUUUAAAUGUUUGUUUUCAUAUUUACAAUCAUGGUGCUAUGUAAUAUUCUUACACUACAGUUUCAAGAUUUGUCAAUUUUGUGCCUUAUGGUUAUUGAGGAUUUGGUCUUGAAACUGAGAUUGCAGAAUUAUAAGAAAUGUGAGAAAUCUUGGCUGGGCGCGGUGGCUCAUGCCUGUAAUCCUAGCACUUUGUGAGGCUGAGGUAGGCAGAUCGCUUGAGGUCAGGAGUUCAAAACCAGCCAGCCAACAUGGUGCAACUCCGUCUCUAUUAAAAAAAAAAAAAAUUAGCCGGGCAUGGUGGCGGGUGCCUGUAAUCCCAGCUACUCGGGAGGCUGAGGCAGGACACUCACUUGAACCCAGGAGGCAGAGGUUGCAGUGAGCUGAGAUCGCGCCAUUGCACUCCAGCCUGGGCAACAACAGCAAAACUCCAUCAAAAAAAAAAAAAGGAAAAGAAAAACAAAUAUGAGAAGUCUAACGUGACUGACUCCAUCUUCCAUCAGACCUCACAGGCUAAAUUGUUUUGUUUUGUUUUGUUUUGUUUUGUUUUUGCUUAUUCUAGUGUGGCAGCCAAGAUAACUGCGUGAGGAAGUUAGUUUAUAGUUAAAAUUUGAAGCCAGGUGUGGUGCCACCCAGCACCUUGGGAGACCGAGGCAGGAGGAUUGCUUGAGCCCAGGAGUUGGAGAACAGCCUCAGGAACAUAGUGAAACCCCUUCUCAAAAAAAAAUUUACAAAAAUUAGCCAGGCAUGGUGGUGUGCACCUGUAGUCCCAGCUACUCAGGAGGCUGAGGUGAGAGGAUCGCUUGAGCCCAGGAAGUUGAGGCUGCAGUGAGCCAAGAUCACACCACUGCACUCCAACCUGGACAACAGCAAGAUUGUGUCUCAAAAAAUAAUAAAUAAAUAAAUAAAUAAUAAAUAA